GAUGAACGCUGGCGGCGUGCCUAAUACAUGCAAGUCGAGCGAACGGACGAGAAGCUUGCUUCUCUGAUGUUAGCGGCGGACGGGUGAGUAACACGUGGAUAACCUACCUAUAAGACUGGGAUAACUUCGGGAAACCGGAGCUAAUACCGGAUGAUAUUUUGAACCGCAUGGUUCAAAAGUGAAAGACGGUCUUGCUGUCACUUAUAGAUGGAUCCGCGCUGCAUUAGCUAGUUGGUAAGGUAACGGCUUACCAAGGCAACGAUGCAUAGCCGACCUGAGAGGGUGAUCGGCCACACUGGAACUGAGACACGGUCCAGACUCCUACGGGAGGCAGCAGUAGGGAAUCUUCCGCAAUGGGCGAAAGCCUGACGGAGCAACGCCGCGUGAGUGAUGAAGGUCUUCGGAUCGUAAAACUCUGCUAUUAGGGAAGAACAUAUGUGUAAGUAACUGUGCACAUCUUGACGGUACCUAAUCAGAAAGCCGCGGCUAACUACGUG
rnacentral:rRNA from 1 species